rfam:Neotoma lepida isolate 417 scaffold_3263, whole genome shotgun sequence.
CUCGCAGAGGCUCUUCACCUGGGACUCGGAGAGCUGCUUGCACUAGUUCACCUGCUCGACUCACUGGUCCAGCUCCUUGGUGAA